rnacentral:lncRNA from 1 species
GGGCACACCCGUGUGACACACCCGUGUGCGAUUACUCCAGCCCGUGGUCAAAGCUGUUGAAUAGGCACGGGCGUGUAGUCUACUCGUGUAAGUCAUGCUUCGAUCCUGCCAAAUAGACACGGCCAUGUGACACACCCAUGUGAGGAAGUUUAGGCCGUGUUGAUUUUCCACGUGGGUCCAUUUUCUCUGUUUUUAGCCCGUUUCUCGCUCUUUUUAUUCUCCUAUGCUC